rnacentral:rRNA from 1 species
AGUGAACGCUGGCGGUAGGCCUAACACAUGCAAGUCGAACGGCAGCACAGGAGAGCUUGCUCUCUGGGUGGCGAGUGGCGGACGGGUGAGGAAUACAUCGGAAUCUGCCCAGUCGUGGGGGAUAACGUAGGGAAACUUACGCUAAUACCGCAUACGACCUUCGGGGGAAAGAGGGGGAUCGCAAGACCUCUCGCGAUUGGAUGAGCCGAUGUCGGAUUAGCUAGUUGGCGGGGUAAUGGCCCACCAAGGCGACGAUCCGUAGCUGGUCUGAGAGGAUGAUCAGCCACACUGGAACUGAGACACGGUCCAGACUCCUACGGGAGGCAGCAGUGGGGAAUAUUGGACAAUGGGCGCAAGCCUGAUCCAGCCAUACCGCGUGGGUGAAGAAGGCCUUCGGGUUGUAAAGCCCUUUUGUUGGGAAAGAAAUCUUUCAGGCUAAUACCCUGGGAGGAUGACGGUACCCAAAGAAUAAGCACCGGCUAACUUCGUG